rnacentral:ncRNA from 2 species
AUGAAGGCCGCAAGAGAGACCUCUGCCCUGUAAGGGAUAAAAGAGGCGCCGAAGGUGCAACCCUAGCGGAAGGUUGCUGGGGGAAACUCUCAGGCUAAAGGAUUGCGGCUGGACG